GCGAGCGCAGUGCGGUGAAAGUCGCAUGCUGCGUUCUUCGGGGGCCGCGUUUCCGUGAGGGAACGUGGCUACCCUCU
rnacentral:ncRNA from 1 species